rnacentral:rRNA from 1 species
CGGGAAAAGCUCAAAUUUAAAAUCUGGCGGUCUCUGGCCGUCCGAGUUGUAAGUUAGAGAAGUGUUACCCGCGCUGGACCGUGUACAAGUCUCCUGGAACGGAGCGUCAUAGAGGGUGAGAAUCCCGUAUGUGACUGGCUGCCUUCGCCUAUGUGAAGCUCUUUCGAC